CGUGCACUCCGCUCAUCCACACUGGCUCACUCACUCGCUGAUGGGAUCACAGCAGGAUUAACGUUAUUCGCGAGACACGACGCGGUCAUGGUAAAAAAUACAGUGCAAAGGCAGAGAGUGAAGGUGUGGUGGUAUUGGCAGCAGGAAGGCUGCAUAAUAUGGGUCUGAAAUGAAGUACCGGAACAUUAUCAGUCAUUCAAGCUAUGAUAUCCUGGCAGAUCUACUUCCUGAAAAGAAGACUCAGCAGAUCUUUUCAAGACACACUAGAUGGAGCGCGGAGAGACCGGACAGUUCCCACAGUGCCAGUUUUUCAGCACCCACACCCCAAACACAAAUUCAUAUAGAAGUUUUCAAUAAUAAAAUGUUCAUAUGAUAGUUUAUAUUUAGCUAUGAAGCAAUAGUUUAUUGUCAUAAAUAUUAAACUAAAUAUUAAAGUCCUUCUGUAGUGAAAAUCAAGUUUUUAUGCUGUUUUUUUGUCUUUGUGGCAUUAAAUAUUGCUACAUCACAAUCCAAUAACCAAUCACAUCUAAGAAUAAUUUCCUAUAGCAUGCCAAUACCAGCGCACAAGCACAAAGCUAAAGACAAAUUAUAGCAAAAAAAAUUAGAUUAAAUAUUUGACUACAGGGGACUUACAUUUUUUUUUUUACAAGAUAUGAAAUUUUCACCAGUCUGUUCAAUGUGUUGAAAGUGAAAGUGAUUAUCUUUAAUAAUUCAGAUACCUGUUGAAAUGCACAUGUAAUUGAAUGCUUGCUUGGAUCUGGGAUGUUGUGUUAAUAAAUAUUAUGCUGAAAGAGAAUGUUGCAACAGUGCUAACCUGAAAAUAAAAUUUUAUUAAGCUA